rnacentral:rRNA from 1 species
CCUACGGGAGGCAGCAGUGAGGAAUAUUGGUCAAUGGGCUUACGCCUGAACCAGCCAAGUCGCGUGAGGGAAGACUGCCCUAUGGGUUGUAAACCUCUUUUGUCAGGGAGCAAUUGGCGCUACGUGUAGCGUUAUCGAGAGUACCUGAAGAAAAAGCAUCGGCUAACUCCGUGCCAGCAGCCGCGGUAAUACGGAGGAUGCGAGCGUUAUCCGGAUUUAUUGGGUUUAAAGGGUGCGCAGGCGGAAGAUCAAGUCAGCGGUAAAAUUGAGAGGCUCAACCUCUUCGAGCCGUUGAAACUGGUGUUCUUGAGUGAGUGAGAAGUAUGCGGAAUGCGUGGUGUAGCGGUGAAAUGCAUAGAUAUCACGCAGAACUCCGAUUGCGAAGGCAGCAUACCGGCGCUCAACUGACGCUCAUGCACGAAAGUGUGGGUAUCGAACAGGAUUAGAUACCCCUGUAGUC